UGGAAGAGUCUGCUGGUGGGAAGGGAGAAGAGUGGGAGGACGAAAUAAACAACAGGCAGCUUCCUUUCUUGACAGAUGGAAAAUAAAGGGCCUGUCCAUAGCUCGGCGAACUGCUCCGUGGACCUCCCAGCGGGGCUGCUUUCUGAGGUGAUGGUCUCCUCGCUCCUUAGCCAGCCUGGUGGAGCCAGCUAUUGACGUUGGAAAGGAGUUGGAGGAUGGAGCACCAGAUACUGCUACACCAUCUCAUUGGCAUGGACCUAUAUGUGGCAGCAAGUCCAUCUCAUCGCUUUUGGUGAAAGUCAGUCCAGUUUGUAAAGAUUCUCAUUGCCUUGGAAAGUGUUCCAGGAAUGGACUUUCUGCAGUAUGAUGACCUGCAAAAGCAGCCCUUCCAUUUACAUUUCAAACUCCAAGUCAGCCGUGUCAAAGUUUGAACCAGGACUGUGGAGGAUAAUGGGUCAGAUGCAAUUAGCAGCCCAGAGAACCGCAUGUUGCAGUCUGAUUUAUUUUUUUGCCCAUCAGAUUCCAAGAAUCCUAGUGCUUAAAAGCAACUAAACAAUCGCUCUAUUGUACUGAAAUAAAGCCCAGUUAAUUCAGAAAUCAAUUGCACCACCAGGUGGGGCACACUCUGGCCCCAAACAGAUGGGGUUGAAAACUCCCCCCAAAAUGCAGUCUUGUUAAAUUAAAAACUUGAUCCAGGAGUGGAACAAAUAGGGAGCCAUGAAUGGAAUGGAGUCAGGUCCACUGAGGCGGAUUCUUUCUUCUCCCACUCAUUUUCCUUUAAAAAAGAAAAAUUCCCCAUUUCACUUUCAUCAGUGUUAGCAUCUAUGCAGAAACACAGCCAUCCACCCUUUGCAGUUGAAUGUGUUACUUUAAUUAGUCUGAAAAUUAAAGGGCAACUCCGGGCCAAUGUGAAUGAUUAUGAAAAUACAUGUGCAUCCCAUGCAAUCUUCUCAUUUAAUUAAUAGUCUUGUAAACUAUAUGGUUCACUUUAAGUCAGUCAAGAGGUAUAACAACUCCAUUUUAAAUAUCCACUUAAUACUUAACAGGAUGUGAGGAACACACUAUAGCAUACGGUCCCGUCUCAAGUUUCACUGUCUGAAAUUUUUCAAAGCUGACCCAAGUCAACCCGAAAAAUGUUUAACACCCUGGGCUUGAACACAAGAAACUCUGUGAUGAACAGACAUUCAAUUACAUUUUUUGAAAGUGAGAAGCAUUUUUGUAAAAUAGCGACUCUGGAAACUAAUUGGCAGCCGCAAAACUUGUGAGCAAAGGCCAAAUCUUGUGGGGAACUUUUACUACAGUAACACGACUCAAAGAAAAUGUGAAUAAAAGGCAUCUUUGUUUCCCAGUCAAAUUAGCUGAUUAAGAAAUAAAACAUCUUAACAUGUU
rnacentral:lncRNA from 1 species